rnacentral:lncRNA from 1 species
AGGAAAUAAGAACGAAAGGGUGGCAGAGUUCAUGGACAGUAACUCUCCCUUUGAGCUGGAGACCUCUCUCCAGACUUGUUUAUUAUAGUUUUGUACUGAUUCAACUGCAGGUUUAGCAGCAAAAUGAAAAGCUGUCUUGUUUAAAGGAAGAUGUAACUCAUUUUGUGAACAAGAACUGCAAACAGCUGCUUCCAUAUGUUGCUACUAUCUGGAUAAAUUCUUUGUUAAAUGGCAUCUUUAAGAUUAAACUCUGUGCUGAAAAUAAACACAACAAAAGUGUGAGAUGAUUGAGGAGAACAGUGACCCACUCCAGGAGAAAAUACACUUUGUUUCAGCUGAUGAUGAAUCUGUAUGACCCAGACAGCACGUUCUAAUUUUGACUAUCAUUGCAUUCUGCACUAUUUUGACAUAUAAUAUAAAUGUCUGUGAUAAGGGGUAAAAGGCACUUUGGCCCAUCUGUGCUAGUUCUAAACCUGUUUGUCCUACUUUACUUUGGGAUGAUCUAGCCUUUUUUUUUUUUUUUUUUUUUUUUUUUUUUUAAAUUGAAUUUUUAACAUAGUUUGGACCUACUUCUUUGUUCUGCAGUAUCUCUGUUAGAAAAUGUUUUAAGUACAACCCUCUGUUAGCCAGAUUGAAACACGGUUUGGAAAAGUGUCGGGGUGUUCUCUUUGAAGUUGAAGGGAGAUGCAUCUGCCUUGAAUGAGAUCAAGAUCAAAUCACCUGAGCAAAUGGCUAACUAUUUAAAUAGUCCCUUGGAAGUUCAGUGUGGUUUGAAGCCUUCUGUAGAGGAGAAAGACUUCAUGCUUCAGUUUCAGCAAUGAAGCACUGUCCCUUCGUAACAUUAAUUGAAGAAGGUGUGGGAAGGCAAUGGAAGAGGAGCCCAGAAAACAAUUUGUUUAUUAUAAGCAGGUCAGUCCUCCGGGGAAUUCAUGGAAUCAUGCAGUGGGAGAGGACAAUCACGGCACUGAAAUGGUGGGUAAUUUUAUUUGUUCCACUUGAUGGUCACAGUGGCAUCAUGCUGGCCAAUUACUCUUGAGUCAGCAGGUUUCAGAGGUUAAGACCCCCUUGUGGGUUGCAGCACUGCAGGCAAAGCAUUCAGGCCAGAUUGAAACCGUUUCAACAGCAGAGACGCCAGCCUUCUUCUCCCUUGGAGAUCUCCUUUUUCAACUGUGUACGAGACACACAUGUGAUAAAAUAGGCAUGUCUCUAACAUCGAGACGGCUU